UUAAUUACUGAGAUCAAGACUAGUAGCGAUUAGCUUUUUGAGACAGAGAAUCUUUUUUAAAUAGCUGAAAGAAAAGAUAAAAGAAGCAAUUGUGAAUUUCAUCUUGGGAGUAGAAUCUAAUCAAUUCCGGUAUUUCACCGUUAACGAAAAUUAAAGUGUGAGCUUAAGAUGCUCAAACUAGGGUGGUACCGCGACGCUUCGUCCCUAUG
rnacentral:ncRNA from 1 species